UGGGGAAUAUUGCACAAUGGAGGGAACUCUGAUGCAGCGACGCCGCGUGAACGAAGAAGGCUUUCGAGUCGUAAAGUUCUUUUAUAUGGGAAGAUAAUGACGGUACCAUAAGAAAAAGCCCCGGCUAACUACGUGCCAGCAGCCGCGGUAAUACGUAGGGGGCUAGCGUUGUCCGGAAUCACUGGGCGUAAAGGGUUCGCAGGCGGAAAUGCAAGUCAGGUGAAAAGGCAGUAGCUUAACUACUGUAAGCAUUUGAAACUGCAUAUCUUGAGAAGAGUAGAGGUAAGUGGAAUUUUUAGUGUAGCGGUGAAAUGCGUAGAUAUUAAAAAGAAUACCGGUGGCGAAGGCGACUUACUGGGCUCAUUCUGACGCUGAGGAACGAAAGCGUGGGUAGCAAACAGG
rnacentral:rRNA from 1 species